GGAGAGAUGGCUCAGUGGUUAAGAGCACUGACUGGUCUUCCAGAGGUCCUGAGUUCAAAUCCCAUGGUGGCUCA
rnacentral:tRNA from 1 species